UAAAUGGUGUCAUCACACCUAAGUCAGUUUUCCUGUAGUGUUUCAUACUAGCAGACCACAGUUUUUACCAACCAAAAGUCACAAAGACAAACAGAAGGAUGCUCUGUAUCGCUCUCCUCAUUGCCGUUCUGCCCUGUUUGGCCAAAGAGUUUCCCGCACCAGUGAUAAAGCUGGACUCCUAUCUGCUGAAUCAAUCUGAGGUGGUCUUGUCAGCUAAUAAACCCUUCAUUCUGAGCUGUGACGGACAAGCGGAUAUCAUAUGGAAGACAAGGCUCAGGAUACACCAGAAGCAAGUCUCACGAGAGACCCUCACUGUCAAAAAGCCCACUACAGAGUACACAGGAACAUACCGUUGCAGUUACAAGAAUCAAACAGACUUGUACUCAGAGAUCCACAUAUAUGUGACAGAUUCUGUCAAAGCCUUUACUUCCCCUCAAAGCCCAAUAAUAAUUCAAAAAGAAGGCUCAAACUACUUGUUGGACUGCUUGGUGACAAACCCAGAAAGUACUGAGUUCUCGCUCCAGAUGGCGAAUGGAUCUGCUGUCCCGUCCAAGAUGAAUUACACCGCGGAUCCCAAACGUGGCAUACUGGUUCGAAAUCUUCAGCCUAGCUACAGCGGAGAUUAUGUUUGUACUGUCAAAAUUAAUGGAGUCCAAAAGAAGUCUGACGUCUUCCAAAUAUUUGUCAUAGAAAAAACACAAAAGCCACCAGUGGUGUCACUUCCAGCCAAUCGUUACGUGCGGAUUGUCGGUGAAACACUGCAUAUCCCUUGUCAUGCUGAAAACCAAGAUCAUUCAUAUAACAUCACCUGGAGUUCAUCAGAAAAGGUCCUGAAUUAUAAAAUAAACAGAGACAAAGGAUGUGAACGAAUUUGCUUCAUCAGUCUAUUAACCAUUCAUCAAGUAAACAUGUCCGACGCAGGGAAUUUAACCUGCACUGGCCAAAAUCGAGCAGGAAGAAACAGUGUGACAGCCGUUCUCAAAGUUGUAGAUAAACCCUACAUUCAGUUUAAACCCAUCCUGUCCUCUGAAUACAAGGUGAAUGGAACAGAUAUUGAGGUGAUGCAGGGGGAUAAGGUUGAACUUGCUGUGCAAAUUGAAGCAUAUCCAGAAGUGAAACAGACAUGUUGGAAGACUCCCAAAUCGAAUCACACGCACGAGGAGACAUUUAACAGGAUUAAUAACAGCGACAGCUAUAUGACCACAAUGGUGCUGAGAAAAGUUGGAGCACAAGAUAAUGGUCACUACAUCUUCACCGCCAGGAGUGCCAGUGUCAAUGCCUCAAUCAUUUUCACACUUCAUGUAUACCAGAAGCCCAAUACUUUCAUUGAGUGGGAAAAUGGCUUUGCCUCUUGUAUGGCAUCUGGUUUUCCAAUACCCAGGAUCCAGUGGUUCCAGUGUGAAGAUGCCAGAGCUAUGUGUAGUUCUAACCAAACAGCAGCUGUGGAACUGAUGGCCACCCAGUCCACUUUGGGGGACGUCAGAGAGUAUGAACCAGUGCUGGUGAAGAGCGUCUUACCAGUGACCGAUGCAAAUACUACUUUAACCUUUGAGUGUGUGGCUACAAAUAUUGCUGGAGAACAUCGUGAUACCUUCACCUUUAAAAUUUCACAUCUCCUGAAUACUGCAUCAGUAUGGUCAGUUUCAGUGUGGAUCACUGUUGUUCUCAUUGGAGCCUUGUGUUUGGCGAUAUUAGGGAUGCUGAUCCUCUUCUACAAGCACAGAAAGGCACACAAGUAUGAAAUCCACUGGAAAAUCAUUGAGGCUAAUGAAGGGAACAACUACACAUUCAUUGACCCCACUCAGCUUCCAUACGACAAAAAACUGGAGUUUCCUCGAAAUAAGCUGAAGCUUGGACAAGUUUUAGGAGCUGGAGCUUUUGGGAAGGUGGUGCAAGCAACUGCUUAUGGGCUUGUGAAGGACGAAAGCUUCACACGAGUGGCAGUGAAAAUGCUCAAGCCUAGUGCUCACUUUGAAGAAAAAGAGGCACUCAUGUCUGAGUUGAAGAUCUUAAAUUAUAUUGGACCGCAUGAAAACAUAGUCAAUCUGCUGGGGGCUUGUACUCAGGGUGGACCGAUGCUGAUGAUCACGGAGUACUGCUGUCAAGGUGACCUCCUCAACUUCCUGCGUCAACGAGCAGAAACAUUUGUGAACAAUAACCUUGGUGUUCAGAGCUUCCCAGAGAACUCAAACCUGUACAAGAAUGUGGCGCUUCAACAGAACCAUUCGACAGGGAUGACUAACUCUGGCUCAGAGAGCUACAAGGAUGCACAAUCAACACAGAUGUCAAAAGACAUUUGUCAAGAAUCUUGUAAUGAAGGAGGGAAGGAUCCAUGGUCACUGGAUAACAUUGAUUUACUGACAUUCUCCUAUCAAGUGGCAAAGGGAAUGGAGUUCCUAGCCUCCAAAAAUUGUAUUCACAGAGACUUGGCUGCACGAAAUGUUCUUGUGUCCGACUGCCGCGUUGUCAAGAUCUGUGAUUUUGGACUUGCACGAGACAUCAUGAAUGACUUGAAUUAUGUAGUAAAGGGGAAUGCAAGGCUGCCAGUAAAAUGGAUGUCACCUGAAAGCAUAUUUGAGUGUCUUUACACCGUACAGAGCGAUGUCUGGUCAUAUGGGGUGCUUUUGUGGGAGAUCUUUUCUCUGGGUAUGAGUCCUUAUCCCAAUGUUGUGAUUGAUGCACAGUUCUAUAAGAUGAUUAAAGACGGUUAUCACAUGCCACAACCAGAUUUCGCCCCUCAAGAAAUGUACACAAUAAUGAAAAUGUGCUGGAGCCUGGAACCAACCCUGCGUCCGACUUUUGCCAACAUCAGAGAACUUAUCGCAAAGUUACUACCAAAUCAGCCCAGCGAGGACGUAAAAGCUUCUUCUCUUCAGCAGAACAAUGAAGACAUGUAUCCAGAGUUUCUGAUGGGAAAACAGUGUGACACAGAGUCAGUCUGCAGAGACGAGGCCCAGCCUUUAAUGAGGAGAAGUUUGACCUAACAUAUGCAACUCAAACAAAGGCCUAUUUUUCAUAUCUGUAUUUAGAAGUAGAGCUAACAAGAUAAGCAGAAUUUUUAUAUACUGCUAUGUAUCUUGUCUUUUUAAUGAUGACUUUGUAAAAUCAUGCUGUAUCAUUUUAUGAUUCUUCAUUUCACUGAUAGCACACACAGUACACCACAGAGACAUCUGCAUUCACAUCUGCGAGAUGUGUUUUUGUUUGCUGAAGUAUGUCUAUAAGAUGUUUCCUAUUAAAUUUAUGUUUAUGAUUUAGAAUGCAUGUAAAACGGAAAUCUUAAAGACGUCUAUCAGAUGUUAGUACACAGCAGAUGCUUUCCAGAUGAAGUGAUCUUCAACAGACACCUUAAGAUAUGCAGCAGCGGUGUUGUUGUUGUUUUUUUGUAUGCAUGUCACUGAUUGUAAUGUAUAUCUGGAACCAGUAAAACAUAAGUAACCUACAGUAACAUUACAUUCAUUUGUCUUUCAAACUGUAAAUACAGUGUGUGUUUAAACAUUUCUAAAUAAAU